CCACCUCCACUCCUAUGGGACUACCCCCUGAAUUUAAGCAUAUUAAUUAAGGGAAGAAAAGAAACCUACCAAGAUUUUCCUAAUAGCCGCCAACGAAAAGAAAUCCAUCCACACUUGUCACUUUGGCCAUAUGGGCCAAUGUGAGAUGCCGUGGACGGACAUCUACCUUCUAGUAUGAGAAAGUUAACCAAUUAAAGUCCUCCCUGAAUAGAGGCCAAUUUACCCCAUAAAGGUGCCAGGGCCCGUAAACCGUAAAUGAUUACAAAAAGGGGUUUUCCC
rnacentral:ncRNA from 1 species